UGUAGUAUUUUCGUCCUCGCCAGUCACACUAUUCCUAGGUUUGGUCAAUAUACUUAUCCUUUGAUUUCUCCUAUAUUUUCCUUCCUGAUUUUGUUUGAUGAUUUGCUAGGUUAUGGGAUUGGAUCUCCAUUUUCCAAGAUUCUUAGCUGAUAAGUAUAUUGUGCGGAAAAAUCUCUACUGAAUGACAAAUCCAAGCAAUGUAAGUGACCUAACAUUUCACUGGUGGUAUGGUACAUCUCAUACAAUUUCUGAAUUCCAAUACCGUUCCUGUGUAGCUGGAUACUCCAUGGGACAAAGUUGAAGCUUUGUACAUCACUUCUCUACCUGUUUAUUAAUGUUUCUUCAUGUUUGGCAGUGAUCUGGGUUUCCAUGUACUUGAUAGAUGCAUUCCUUAUCUUUAUGUGUUCCAUCUAUGUUUAUAUGUUUCUGCCCAUAAAUGUAUUUAUGAGCUUGCUCCGUUUUUUACUGCUUUCCUAUGGCAAUUUGAAAAGUACCCUUUAUUCCCCUAAAAAGGGCUAUACAUGCAUUUAAAAGAGUGCACAUUUUCUAUAAACAUAAGCAUUGUCUUUACCCCACUGCUCUCUGGCGUGCAGCGACGAAGAUUUCAUGCUCAACCUCCCUCACAGCCCCAGGUUCGGCUACUUUCCAGUUUUGUUAGUUUUCUUCUUGGUAGCACUGAACACCAUGGAAACAUGGGUGCCGUGGCCACACACAUGCAUUUUGUCGUCCUCCUUAAAAUUCAAUUAGAUUAUAUGCAAACAUGCAGUCGUGUUUACUUAAGAUCCAAUUAGAUGAAUGCUGUUUAUUUUUCCAUAUAGUUUCUAUUUAGAAAGGCCUCAUAUGCAAGUUGGGGACAUGCCGUGAACAUAUGGUUUUGUGAUCUAUGGUCUUGAGUCAUAUGUUGGAUGGGUGAUAAUGGAAAUUUUCUUGAGGAUAACCCCGUGCAUAAGUUUUGUGAGAGUUAAACCUGUUUUAUGAGAGGUAAAGCUGUUUUUUGAGAGUUAAACCCGUGCAUGUGAAUGUAUUUUUUUAGAACUGGUCAAACUAUUUUUUGUGAGAGUUAAAGCUGUUUUCUGGAGGACAAACCCGUGAAUAAGUUUCUCAUCUGUAUAGAUUAAUUAAUAGGAUGGCAAUUUAAGUUUAUUGGAGCUCUUUUUAAGAAGUGGGGGUCUGCUUUGGUUUCUUGCUGUUUGCAUAUUCUCUUAAAAACACUUGACUGACUGCAGCUGACUGUUUAUACAUCAAUAAUAUGGGCAGUUGAAUACGGCGUUUUCAAGUGAAGGAUUUCAAAAAUCUAAUAUGGCAUGCCUAUUUUUCAUGGAAAAACAAAUGGUACCUUAUUUACUAUUUAGUUUUUAAGCUAGACUAAUUUGACUACACGCAUCCUGAGGUGCCUUCUAUUUGAAGUUCUGCCUAGGGUGGCCUUUGUCUUGGUUUACAGCUCCAUAUGGCUACCUAUGUACUCCCUCCGUUCCAAAAUAUAAGUCCUUUUAGACAUUUCAAAUGGAAUACAACAUACGGAUGUAUGUAGACAUAUUUUAGAUUGUAGAUUCGCUCAUUUUGCUCCGUAUGUAGUCACUUGGUGAAAUCUCUAGAAAGACUUAUAUUUAGGAACGGAGGGCAUAUAACAUAUGUAGGUUCUGUUUGAACCGUCUCAAAUCACAUAGAGAUGUUAAAUUUUCAAUUUGUUGCCUCGCGGUCGUGUGCCAUCACCAUGUUUACUCCAGAAAAGUGGAAUGUGCAGAGUUUCUGUGUUGAUUAGUCAAAUAUUUGCUUUGCCUUAAAGACUGUCCCAAUCUAUGUUCCAGGUUGUGGCAACGCUGCAGAUAUGCCCAUUGCCAUUGAGCAUUUCUAUCUAUAUGCUUCUACAGAGUAUUUGGUUUUUUAACUAUACGCUUGACGAAAUAAUUUCCUUAUAAGCCGGGACAAGGCGUUUGUAGUUGGUAUUUGUACUAUAAGCUCAAUUUUUUUGGUUCAUCUCAUCUCUGGUUAUUUUUUCGUUUUUUGUGUUUCUGCAGCAUAUUAUCAUUAGCAUGUAAAACCUCUUAUAUUUCUUGUUUUCAACAAUUAUUCUUUGGCAGGGAAGACUAUGAUAACACUAAGAUUAUCAGGAAAGGAUUCAGAGCUUUUUUUUAAUCCAGAUUAUCACACAUGAUGCAAAAUUAACAACCACGACUUUGAAAUAUGGAGAUGAUGCUUAUUAUGUGCUAGAAAUCAAAUAUGUAAAGGAGAAGAUAAUGUUUGCGAAGGUGUGUAUACUGAACAGGCAUCCCAAUUGAUAUGUUUUUCUGUUGUUUCUUGAUGUGCUCUCAUGCAGCUCUGUCCAUAUAUACUGAUUGUUAUACUUAUUGUUGUGUGAGUUGCAGGAGAGGGGAGAGAGAUACGGGUUGAUUCUGGGUAAACUUUGCUUAAUUUGUUGGAGAAAAUGCUCGAUAGAUCUCAUGGAUGGAUGAGGUUGUGGCAGUAGUUCUCGGGUGCAAUAUCUAUCUUGAUAGAGUGAUCGAUCAGGGCACAUUAGAAGCAGAAAGAAGAGGAAACGUUUGGGCCGUCUAUGGCGUUGAAGAUUCAGUGUUUCUGUCUUGUGUACAUGCACGGCCAGUUCAGUAACUAGAUGGCCUUUUCUACUGUACUGGUGCUGCUACUUUUCACAUGCUAGCUUCUUUGGAAAGCGCCAACAGUGUGUACAACAUGUAAAGAGUCCAUGUUGAAAGAACAGAAGCAGAAGUAUGGAGUUGAUGUAUUAAUGGUCAAUCAAGGAAUUCAGUCUCGAUGAGCUUAUCUAAUGAUGUGUGGGUUGAGCCUUAGGUCAUUUUCAAAGUAACGGAAGUACAAGAGAUUACUUGAAAAUAUGCAUUUUUUCAAUGUGACAUGGUCUUAAGUGCGAUUUUAUACCACCAAAUUAAAAUGUGGUAUAUCUCAUUGUAGACAACAAGCCUACAUUUUUAUUUUAUUUUAUUGAAGGGGUUAAACUUGUUAUCGUAUGUGUUUGCCCACAACUAAAUCAACUAAAACAUGAUUUUUUUUUUCAAUGUGAACAUG
rnacentral:lncRNA from 1 species